UGUCCUGUAGCUCAGUGGUUAGAGCAUUUGCCUGGCAAGCGAGAGGACCCAGGUUCGAUUCCUGGCAGGGUGA